AUGAAUGAUCUCCUCUUGGUGGAAGAAGCCGACGGUGUGUCCUACUUUCAUGUGUUGCUUGUGGCGAACAUGCAGAGAACAAAAUAUACGGUGCACGUAAAUAUGUUGCGACAUGGUGAUGGUGUGUGGCGCACGUAUCUUACCUUUGACAGAGACCAACUUCUUGAUCCGGAAUGGGAAUCAAAAGCUGUGCUCGCCAACAAUAAAAUCUACAUAGCGAGCACACAGAACAGCAUUGAUUUCUUUGAUUUGACUACCUCAAGCAUCUCCACGGUUCAGCUCCCACAUGGGGUGGAGUAUGGCGAUAGAGAUACCAUGUUGGCACCAGCUGAUGAUGCUUCUGAUGUGUAUCUCAUCCAUGCUAAGAAUCUUCAGCUUGACAUCUGGCUCCACAAGGGGGAUAACUGGUUGCUGGUGGACACCAUUUCUUUGCGUGACAUGGUUGCUAAUUUGAGGAUUCCAGGUUGCGAGGUUGAGGAUGAGCCCACUGCUCCUCUCUGGAUAAACCAUGUGGGGUCCUAUGCUGAGUUUGUGUUCUUGGAGAUGGGCCGAUGCGCACUUCACUUAGAUGUCAAGUGUAGGCAGUUGCGUAAAGUGUAUGAUAUGACAGAAGAAGAACUAGAUUUGGGUGAUAUCCAUCCUCUUACAAUGAUUUGGCCGCCCAUAUUCCCUGCUCUCACUGAUAACCUUGCAAGGAAUGCCAUGUGA
rnacentral:rRNA from 1 species